rnacentral:hammerhead_ribozyme from 1 species
AUCCAACUGAUGAGUCCCAAGUAAGACGAAACGCGUGUCAAACUGGAU